UGCUGCAGUGGGUAGCCAUUCUCUUCUCCAGGGGAUCUUCCCAACCCAGGGAUCUAACCCCGAGUCUCCUGCAUUGCAGGCAGAUUCUUUACCACCUCAGCCACCAGAGAAGCCCCACUAUGGACAUGAGGCCCCUACUUUGAACUCUGUCGUCUUCUGGGAAGAAUAAGGACUCCUCUCUCUUGAUACAAUUUGGUCCCAGCGGGAUUCCCAACUGAGACAGCUGAUAACAUCAAGUUCUCAGGGGACCUAACCUGAAGGAACUGUGGAGCUGCUAGGGGAGUGGAUGAGGGGAGUAGAUUGGACUCAAUGCCCUCUUACACAGACUGUAGGAGUGCCUGGCAAGAGGAGUCUGCUGACUGGAGUCCAGACCAAGCUAAUCAACUCUCUGAAGUCAAAACAGUGUUUGAGUGAUGAGUCCCCAGGCAGAUUUCAGGAAUGCAGAACAUUUGGUGAGUUUGCAUAUUCUACUAGGAGCAUGUUGUUUGCUCUGCAAGUUACACCAAAACCAAGAACUUUCUGGGGAACCAGAAACUCUUGAGCUCUAAUACCUUUAUUCUUCUUAAUUAAUUUAUUUUAUUUUUGGUUGAACUGGGUCUUGAUUGCUGGGCUUUGGCUAGUUGUUGAGAGUGGGGCCUACUCUGUAGACGAGAUGCGUGGGCUUCUCAUCGUGGUGACUUCUUUUGGUUGCAGAGCCCAGGCCCCUAGGCGCAGGGG